AGAGACGAUGUGUGAAGAAACAGGAAAGUCGCUGUCUUGUCUGCUGAGAUGCUAAUGAGCUUCGAGUUGCUGGCAGUACAGGCCCAUGCCACAGGUCCCGCCACUUGUCAAAUGGAAAGUUUGCACAGAGCAAAUGCAAUGAGGAAGGAGACAGCUGCUUGAUGCCAAGGAACAGCCGAGGCCACCAGAUAAGUGAGGGGGCAGGAAAGCCACCUUCCUGGAGGCUUUAGCGGGAGUCUGGCUUUGCUGACCCUUGGCUGCAGACGCCUAGAGUGGUGACAACAUGGAUUUCCAUUGCUGUAAACCAGCCUGUGUUCCAUUGCUGUAAACCAGCCCCAAGCAAGAAUCUAACAUCCUCUAAGAAAUGUAUAUUUUUCCUGGGAAUGAAGGUCACAGUAUCACACCACAGUGUCUGGCUCCACAGACAGACUCAUUUCCUUAACAUGGGUGGCAAGAUCACCUUGCUUGUUUAGAAAUAAAUGACCACUGUUGGUAAAUCUUUGGCAAGUGCAUGAUUUCUCUACCAAUGAAACUAGUCAGCGUGAAUGCUACCCAAUUUUUAUCUGGGAAAUCUAAUAAGGGAGAUUUAUUUUAGUGACAAACAAAAAAAAGUUCCAACGAGGAGCUUAUUAGUAAUUCAGUAUGGCCUACUGAAUUACUACUCUGAAGAUCUGUUUUCCAAGAGAAAUGUUGGGAGAAUUUUUAAAUUCUGAUUAUAGUGACUUGAUAGAAAACAAAUGAUCCUUGAUAUUAAACUUGUAUGGGGGGGGAAGCAGUCCAGUGUGAAGUAAGGAAAGGGAGUAGACACAUUACAGAGGUACCCAGGCAUCGUACAGUCCCAUCCGUGAAGUGAGGCUGCCUUCCAGGGCAGUUUGAAAAGCAAGGCAGUGGCAGGGGAAGCAUGAAGGAGAGGUGCCCUGCUGUUUAAUGCGCCACCUAGCGUUGCAGUCACCUCGUCAUUAAUUUCUCCCUAUCCUGACCUCAGGUAGGUCCAAGUUCACAGGACAGCAGGGUCCAGAAAUGAAAACCACAGUGACUUUCUUCUCAACAUUCUGCCAUCUACCUGCAAUGUUGACAUACUGGACAGCAAAGACGUCAGGUCUGAGUGUCUGAGUAUUCCAUGGGGCUUCUUUUGGUUUGGGGUUUGGGUAUCAGGUGUGGUCAGCUUGCCUGUCGUGGAAAGCCCUGAUCACAUGCUGCGUCUUUCCCAAGCCUAUGUAGACUGCUCUUGCGGCCCAUCCUCUGGAGCACCUGAGACUGUUCCCCAGACUCCUUGCUUUUCAGCCCGUCUCUGAGAUGGACCUGGACAACUGUGUUCAGCACCAGCAUCUGAACCAGCAACUCUGGUCCAGGACAGCGCUAACUCCCAAUGGAAGACAAACACUUAGCAACAUAUCACUUUCUCUCCCUCUUGGACGUCUGAGUAAAGUGCUGGACUAGGUUUUCCUAGCAAACUCUAAAUGUGACCCACCCAUUGCUACCAGUUGGAUAUUUGAUAGGUAACAGUCCCGAAACUGCCUGUCAAACUGAUUUAUUUGUAAAUCUAACAAAUCCAUUGUUGAAGAGUAUACUAUUUUUGAAAACGAGCAUUAUAUAUACAUACAUAUCCAUAUAUUUGCAUAUGAUAGUAAUACUUGGUAACUGAACAUACACCAGUUUUCUAAUCAAUUAUUAAACGAUUCUCUUCAGUGGCAUACUAGAUACUAUCUAAGUGUUUUGCUUAGUACUUAGAGAUGGAGACACCUCCAUCUGACAGCUGGCAGGACAAGGGUCCUGCACAGACUAUCAUCACAUCCUCGAGAAUAUAUGUAGUGAGAGACAGAGCCAAGAUGUGAACACAACAGAGCAACCCCGACCUCCUGCUCUCGGUUUCUGGCUUUCUACAUGUUUAUAUUAAAAUUAUUAAAAAUCAAAGUUAUUAAAAAUCUCAUGGAUUGAAAUCUCUCAAUGCACUAAGCACAGUGCUAAGUGUCUUGCAGAAAUGAUCUUAUUAGGGUUUGCAAUUAGCCUGUGUGUGGGGCUUAUUUUUAUUUUCUAUUUCACGUGUGGGAGCCAAAAUGCAUGGAAGUUAACUUGCCCAAGGUCACACAUUGUAAGGGGAAAGUCCCUGCUCUGACCUCUCAGCCUCGCCUGAGCACCUGCUCUGGAUACAUAUCCCUGGCUCCUGCUAUGUGUCUGGAACCAUGCUAGGACCAAGGGCAGACAAGGAUGACAAGUGAGAUGCUCCCUUCCAUGAGGAACCCUAGAAUACACAGACUUGUAAUGGGGACAGAAAGGAAAGACACUGUAGUGAUUAGUUAUAAGUGAUCUAAUAUUAGCCAGAAGGGUCCAUGCAAUGUUUCAUAAAUCAUACAUCUUUACAAAUUCAAUUAAAGUGAUGGAGUACAUUUUAUAAAUCUGGUUGGAUUUUAAUUCAUCAAACCAAUCAUCAGAGAGACCCUGACAGGCUGCUCUGACUUCUUUUAUUCAUACUGGAGCUGAAGACACACUGUUAGGGCAAAACUGAGGGCCCUAGAUUUCAGGCAUGUAGUUGGAGAGACACCUAAGAACCUUAGCCACACUCUUAGGUUUGCGCCUCUUAGACAUCUAUCAAUGUUUUGUUUCCUAAUGUCUAUGACCUUAGGGCAGUGGCCUCCUCUCCUUUCCUCCGGCUUGAAGUGUCUGCCAAAGUCCACCUCAGCUGCCCUCUCUCCAUUUGACUCGCUCCCACCCACUCCCCAGGGGUCUUGAGAAAGUUGUCCUUGUGUGAACUUCUCAGGCAAUUUAAUGUCUGGAUGGCGCCUGGCCCCCGAUUCUGAUUCCCGCUGUUGACACUGAUGGUAACCUCAUGCGUAUCAAUGCCGGAUUCCAUCACAGAUAAGGCCUCUACGCUCCUCAAGAAGAAGCUCACUCACCCCUUCGUGAAUAGCCAACAGCAGGGAGUAUAAGGCCUUGAGGACAGCGAGUCCUAAGUCCAUGUUUGCUGAAUAGAGGAGUUUUCAGAAGACAGAUAUCCCAAGGCCAAGAGCCCUACAAACCUGGGGAGUGAACAAAUGAGCUUGAGCAGGGCUUGGCCUACUUCGGGGGCUACUUCUUGCAUUGGGCAGUCCUUAUCGUGUGUAUAUAGGAGGAUCUGUCCUCCAUCAAACCAAAUUUACUACUGCCAAAGCUGGUUUUUGUUUGUUUGUUUGUUUGUUUUUUGUAAAUUCAAUUCAAUGUAUUCCCUAAAGUAAAACUGACAGCAAGGACAGAGAUUCCCACUUUAUCAGUAAUGCAACCUUCUACGCAUCAAUUCAGAUGGUUUUAAAUAGGAACACAGGUUUUACUUUAAUAAAGGCUUCCUACAUGUCCUAUGUUUUA